CGCCGGGAGCCGGGGCCGCCCAGAGCCGCAGCCGCCGCGCGGGCAGGGCCGGGCCGGGCCGGGCCGGGCGCGCGGGCACAAAGGGGCCGCUGCACAUGGCAGGCAGGCGAGCAGAUGCCAGCAGACAGCUUUUGUCGUCCAGUAUCCCAGUCAUCCGCCUGACCUGCUCCUGUCUGAACAUCCUACCGCGAGUCAAGGCAAAUGGGCUCAGCUGCUGUUCCACUCCACCCAGGCUUGGAGUGGACUCCCCGUGAGCCUGCAGAGGGGCAGGAUGCUGAGUAGCAGGCCAUGCGGGUGCGCCCGGUUUCUCACCCCAGCCCCAGGGAAGAGGCUGUUUCAUUCUCUGAACCAAGAGGUGAUGAAGGGGAGAGCUCAAGCGGCCUCCUGUUCCCUUGGGAACUUGAGGGGGUGUCGGGAUGUGUUCCCUUUCUGCACUCAGCUGGG
rnacentral:lncRNA from 1 species